GUCUACGGCCAUACCACCCUGAACGCGCCCGAUCUCGUCUGAUCUCGGAAGCUAAGCAGGGUCGGGCCUGGUUAGUACUUGGAUGGCAGACUGCAAGUCAGUUAUGAGUU
rnacentral:rRNA from 1 species